rnacentral:rRNA from 1 species
UACAGAGGGGGCAAGCGUUGUUCGGAAUUACUGGGCGUAAAGGGCGCGUAGGCGGCCGCCUAAGUCAGACGUGAAAUCCCUCGGCUCAACCGGGGAACUGCGUCUGAUACUGGGUGGCUUGAAUUCGGGAGAGGGAUGCGGAAUUCCAGGUGUAGCGGUGAAAUGCGUAGAUAUCUGGAGGAACACCGGUGGCGAAGGCGGCGACCUGGUCCGAUACUGACGCUGAGGCGCGAAAGCGUGGGGAGCGAACAGG